CAAGGAGCUGAGAGUUGGCAUGGAGCAGGGGCGGAGCCAUUCCACGGUCUUCCCCGAGCCUGCCGAUGGAGUGCUGACCUGAGGCAGAGCUGGCAACUGCACAGAGCAGCAGAGUGGCUGGCACCGGGAGAGGGUGGGUGGCCACCUGCCUUCCUGGCAGGAAAGCAGCACCUGACCGCGGUGCUGGGAAGGGGUGCGAUCUGCCCACCUGCCUCCCCCGAGUGCACCAUCUGACUGCAGCAUCGGGAUGGGGAGUGACCUGCCCGCCCACCCACUGGUGCCAGAGAGAUAUGAGCAAUAUGAAGAAGCAGAGGAACCACUCCCAAUUAAAAGAUGAAGAGAAAUCCCCUGAAAGCAAGAUCAAAGAAAUAGACGUUGAUGGCCUGCUAGAUCAAGAUU